GAUUAACGCUGGCGGCGUGCCUAACACAUGCAAGUCGAACGAGGUAGCAAUACCUAGUGGCAGACGGGUGAGUAACGCGUGGUCAACCUACCGUUGAGUGGGGGAUAACUAGCCGAAAGGUUAGCUAAUACCGCAUACGUCUCCGAGUGGCAUCACUUGGCGAUAAAAGGAGCAAUCCGCUCGAUGACGGGACCGCGUCCCAUUAGCUAGAUGGUGGGGUAACGGCCUACCAUGGCACCGAUGGGUAGCUGGUUUGAGAGAGCGACCAGCCACACUGGGACUGAGAAACGGCCCAGACUCCUACGGGAGGCAGCAGUGAGGAAUUUUCCGCAAUGGCGCAAGCCUGACGGAGCGACGCCGCGUGUGGGAAGAAGGCCU
rnacentral:rRNA from 1 species